GGAUGAGGAGGCGAUGUGAUUGGGUCCAUAUGGGCUCAGGAAAGUCCCCGGGCCUUAACUGCAGCGAUGCAGCCUUGGUAACAAGGAACUUGUAGCAAUGAUUCGACCAUAAUGGGCUGAGACAUGUGUGGAGCCUAGAAUCUAGCACAAGGUGUUGGCCAAUUUCACAGCUCAUUCACAUGGUCCUCGUGACUAACUGAACGGGGCUUAUGCCCUCCUCAUCAACCUUUUUUAUCAAUUCUUCUGUGAUUUCUUUAUUAAAUCAAAAUACUAUGUCACGUGGAAGUAGAUUAAUUAUGGUAAUUUUCAAAUUUUAGAGAUGUCACUUUCUUAUUUUCAAUUGAUGUUAUCUCGUAUUUAUAUUUGAUUAUUCUCUUUUUGGUUUGCAUUAUACAUAUAUUUUUCACUUAGGUAAUCUCGUUCAAGCCAUGUAUGAUUAUAAUGAG